UACGGAGGAUGCGAGCGUUAACCGGAUUUAUUGGGUUUAAAGGGUGCGUAGGCGGACUGUCAAGUCAGCGGUAAAAUUGAGAGGCUCAACCUCUUCCCGCCGUUGAAACUGGUGGUCUUGAGUGGAUGAGAAGUACGCGGAAUGCGUGGUGUAGCGGUGAAAUGCAUAGAUAUCACGCAGAACUCCGAUUGCGAAGGCAGCGUACCGGCAUCCAACUGACGCUGAGGCACGAAAGCGUGGGGAUCAAACAGG
rnacentral:rRNA from 1 species